rnacentral:lncRNA from 1 species
AGCCAGAGUCUCGCUCUGUUGCCAGGCUGGAGCACUGAGACACAAUCUCGGCUCACUGCAACCUCCCCCUCCCGGGUUCAAGCGAUUCUCCUGCCUCAGCCUCUGGAGUAGCUGGGACUACAGGCGCCCGCCACCACGCCCGGCUAAUUUUUGUGUUUUUAGUAGAGACAGGGUUUCACCAUGUUGGCCAGGCUGGUCUCAAUCUCUUGAGCUCGUGAUCCACCUGCCUUGGCGUUCCAAAGUGCUGGGAUUACAAGCUUGAGCCACCGCACCUGGCCCACUUUUUUACCUUCUCAAAACCCCAACUCUCCUGUAAUUCCUGAAGCCCAGCCUCAACUGAAUAGCAGAGAGAUUUUGGCUUUCAUUCCAGAAUGAUGUCUCACAGAAAGUCAACUCGUGUUCCAGAAUAAUCUACUGGAAGUAGGAUUACCAAAUCAAAGAGUAUCAUCAUUUUCAAGACUUUAGUACCUAUCGCCAAGAAAGCUGUAUCAAUUUAUAUUCACAGUAUAUUAAUGUCUUUCUGAAACUGACUGAAUUGAUUAAUGUCAUUUAAAAAUCAUGCUAUCUUGUUAGGCCUCUGAUACUUUGUAUUUACUGGUAAGGCUGAAAAUUGUUUACAGACUAAUGAAACACAUUAUAUAUUAAGGUUAUUUAUUUUGUGCCUUAAUAUUUGAAAAAAUACAUCUUCUUAUCAGUUUGCUUUUUGUCCUUUUUGCUGAUUGUUUAUGAUCUUUUUUGACAUACAAAAAUUUUAUUUUUCUCUAUAUUUCAAUGUAUU